rnacentral:rRNA from 1 species
UUGCCAGACUCCUACGGGAGGCAGCAGUGAGGAAUAUUGGUCAAUGGGCGGGAGCCUGAACCAGCCAAGUCGCGUGAGGGAAGACGGUCCUACGGAUUGUAAACCUCUUUUGCCGGGGAGCAACGGGGUCCUUGCGAGGGCCCAAUGAGAGUACCCGGAGAAAAAGCAUCGGCUAACUCCGUGCCAGCAGCCGCGGUAAUACGGAGGAUGCGAGCGUUAUCCGGAUUUAUUGGGUUUAAAGGGUGCGUAGGCGGGCUGUUAAGUCAGCGGUCAAAUGUCGGGGCUCAACCCCGGCCUGCCGUUGAAACUGGCGGCCUCGAGUGGGCGAGAAGUAUGCGGAAUGCGUGGUGUAGCGGUGAAAUGCAUAGAUAUCACGAAGAACCCCGAUUGCGAAGGCAGCUUACUAAACUGUGACUGACAUUGAUGCUCGAAAGUGUGGGUAUCAAACAGGAUUAGAUACCCCAGUACC